AGAACGAACGCUGGCGGCGUGGAUAAGACAUGCAAGUCGAACGGGAUCAUCUUGUAGCAAUACCGGGUGAUUCAGUGGCGAACGGGUGCGUAACACGUGGAUUACAUUCCGGGAAGUGGGGGAUAGCCCAGGGAAACUUGGAUUAAUACCUCAUGUGGUCGCAAGACUAAAGGCGCAAGCCGCUUCCUGAUUGGUCCGCGGCCUAUCAGCUAGUUGGCGGGGUAAUGGCCCACCAAGGCUACGACGGGUAGCUGGUCUUAGAGGACGACCAGCCACACUGGAACUGAGACACGGUCCAGACACCUACGGGUGGCAGCAGUCGAGAAUCUUUCACAAUGGGGGAAACCCUGAUGGAGCGACGCCGCGUGGAGGAUAAGGUCUUCGGAUUGUAAACUCCUGUCAUGCGAGAACAAAGCCUUAUGGGUGUGAUAGUAUCGCAAGAGGAAGAGACGGCUAACUCUGUGCCAGCAGCCGC
rnacentral:rRNA from 1 species